AAUCUUGGACAAUGGGGGCAACCCUGAUCCAGCCAUGCCGCGUGAGUGAAGAAGGCCUUCGGGUUGUAAAACUCUUUCAACGGUGAAGAUAAUGACGGUAACCGUAGAAGAAGCCCCGGCUAACUCCGUGCCAGCAGCCGCGGUAAUACGGAGGGGGCUAGCGUUGUUCGGAAUUACUGGGCGUAAAGAGCAUGUAGGCGGACUGGUCAGUCAGUGGUGAAAUCCCGGAGCUCAACUCCGGAACUGCCUUUGAUACUGCCGGUCUAGAGUUUUGGAGAGGUGAGUGGAAUUCCGAGUGUAGAGGUGAAAUUCGUAGAUAUUCGGAGGAACACCAGCGGCGAAGGCGGCUCACUGGCCAAAAACUGACGCUGAGAUGCGAAAGCGUGGGGAGCAAACAGGAUUAGAUACCCUGGUAGUCCACGCCGUA
rnacentral:rRNA from 1 species